UCGGAAUGAUUAAAUCAAUCAGGAAUUCAAAAUCUGUUGGUGGCAUGCAUGUACUGUCCACUAAUUUCUUGGAACUCAAAGUCCCUUAAAAUAAACUCGCGCCGUUAUAUACAGCUCUACACAACGGCGUUUGCCACAGGAAGUCUUUCGCGUGAUGUCUUGUUCUAUGGCGGGGUGUGGCAUAUGCACAUACGCGCUGCGCCAGCUGCCUGUGAAGACAUGUUCCUACCAGUAGCUGCGAACAUGCAACCUGCUCAUUCAAAUGUUCGCCUGAACGCCGUAAUAUGCAAGUUGAAGCCCUCUUACGUUACAGAGGAAUGCGCAUGCGUGUACCCGGCUUAACACGUGAACUUUCAUUUUAUGAACAAUAUCUGGAAGCUAGAUAUGUUUGUAUGUGAAGGUGUAAAGGAAAGUUGUGCGUCGUCCUUAUGUAUCCGGUUACACUGGGACACUGGUCAAUUUGUACAUAGUUUCUGCGUCAAUUGAGAACUGGUGAAGUGAGUCUGAAUAAGGGUCAUUUGAAACGUGGAGGGAAGCAACGCUAUCUUAUCGGGGCACUGUACUGGACACACUGACGAAAGCCAUGGGAAACUCCACUUAUUAUAGGGACAAGGAGUCAGCUCAACUACAGUGACCAUGUACUCAGAAGUUGGGGUUUCAAAUCAUUCAACUCAAAGAAUGCAUUCUGGCGUUUGCUGAUAUUUAUGGAUUUUGUUGCAACCAAACACGGGAAUUGCGACUGUACAUAGAAAAUUUUAAGUAAUAUCCUGGCACACAACAGAGG